rnacentral:rRNA from 1 species
GAGAGGGUGAUCGGCCACACUGGGACUGAGACACGGCCCAGACUCCUACGGGAGGCAGCAGUAGGGAAUCUUCGGCAAUGGACGAAAGUCUGACCGAGCAACGCCGCGUGAGUGAAGAAGGUUUUCGGAUCGUAAAACUCUGUUGUUAGAGAAGAACAAGGACGUUAGUAACUGAACGUCCCCUGACGGUAUCUAACCAGAAAGCCACGGCUAACUACGUGCCAGCAGCCGCGGUAAUACGUAGGUGGCAAGCGUUGUCCGGAUUUAUUGGGCGUAAAGCGAGCGCAGGCGGUUUCUUAAGUCUGAUGUGAAAGCCCCCGGCUCAACCGGGGAGGGUCAUUGGAAACUGGGAGACUUGAGUGCAGAAGAGGAGAGUGGAAUUCCAUGUGUAGCGGUGAAAUGCGUAGAUAUAUGGAGGAACACCAGUGGCGAAGGCGGCUCUCUGGUCUGUAACUGACGCUGAGGCUCGAAAGCG